CAGCAGGAUCGCGGACGACAGUAUAUUUUCAAGUGCCGGUUUAUCGUUGUGUAUGUCAUAUUAAAUUAUAAGGUGAAAAUGAAACUCUGCCUGAUUGCUUUUGGAGUACUGGUGGCAUGUACCAUGUCGCAAGCUCUUGAAAAUGGACCAAUAAUUGGUGCUCUGCAGCCGGCACCAAAGGAUGUGGUUUUAGUAGAAUCUGGCCCAGCUAACAACAGGCAAAAGCGAUUCUUAUUAGGAGGUGGUCUUCUUGGUGCUGGACUCGCUGCAGGUGCUGUGGGUCUUGGCGCUGGCGUGAUCGGCGCUAAGGCAGGAUUCGUUGGUGGAGCUUUGGCUUCCGGCGCCCUUCACAACGGCAGGAGUUACGGCGGUUACGGUUACGGCGGAG